rnacentral:rRNA from 1 species
GCCUAAUACAUGCAAGUCGAGCGAACAGAUGAGAAGCUUGCUUCUCUGAUGUUAGCGGCGGACGGGUGAGUAACACGUGGGUAACCUACCUAUAAGACUGGGAUAACUCCGGGAAACCGGGGCUAAUACCGGAUAAUAUAUUGAACCGCAUGGUUCAAUGUUGAAAGACGGUUUCGGCUGUCACUUAUAGAUGGACCCGCGCCGUAUUAGCUAGUUGGUAAGGUAACGGCUUACCAAGGCAACGAUACGUAGCCGACCUGAGAGGGUGAUCGGCCACACUGGAACUGAGACACGGUCCAGACUCCUACGGGAGGCAGCAGUAGGGAAUCUUCCGCAAUGGGCGAAAGCCUGACGGAGCAACGCCGCGUGAGUGAUGAAGGUCUUAGGAUCGUAAAACUCUGUUGUUAGGGAAGAACAAAUUUGUUAGUAACUGAACAAGUCUUGACGGUACCUAACCAGAAAGCCACGGCUAACUACGUGCCAGCAGCCGCGGUAAUACGUAGGUGGCAAGCGUUAUCCGGAAUUAUUGGGCGUAAAGCGCGCGUAGGCGGUUUCUUAAGUCUGAUGUGAAAGCCCACGGCUCAACCGUGGAGGGUCAUUGGAAACUGGGGAACUUGAGUGCAGAAGAGGAGAGUGGAAUUCCAUGUGUAGCGGUGAAAUGCGCAGAGAUAUGGAGGAACACCAGUGGCGAAGGCGGCUCUCUGGUCUGUAACUGACGCUGAUGUGCGAAAGCGUGGGGAUCAAACAGGAUUAGAUACCCUGGUAGUCCACGCCGUAAACGAUGAGUGCUAAGUGUUAGGGGGUUUCCGCCCCUUAGUGCUGCAGCUAACGCAUUAAGCACUCCGCCUGGGGAGUACGACCGCAAGGUUGAAACUCAAAGGAAUUGACGGGGACCCGCACAAGCGGUGGAGCAUGUGUUUAAUUCGAAGCAACGCGAAGAACCUUACCAAAUCUUGACAUCCUUUUGAUCGCUCUAGAAGAUAGAGUUUUCCCCUUCGGGGGACAAAGUGACAGGUGGGUGCAUGGGUUGUCGUCAGCUCCGUGUCGUG